CCCAGGUCAGGCGGGACAACCCGCUGAGUUUAAGCAUAUAAAUAAGCGGAGGAGAAGAAAUUUACUAGGAUUCCCCUAAUAAC
rnacentral:rRNA from 1 species